ensembl:snRNA U6 U6 spliceosomal RNA
AGGCCCUAUUGGUUUAUCAUUAAAAUUUAUUAAAGCCUCAGAGAAGAUUAGCAUGGCCCCUGUGCAAGGAUGACAUGCAAAUUUGUGAAGCAUUCCGUAUUAAA